GAGUUUGAUCGUGGCUCAGAUUGAACGCUGGCGGCAUGCCUUACACAUGCAAGUCGAACGGCAGCAUGAUCUAGCUUGCUAGAUUGAUGGCGAGUGGCGAACGGGUGAGUAAUACAUCGGAACAUGCCCUGUAGUGGGGGAUAACUAGUCGAAAGAUUAGCUAAUACCGCAUACGACCUGAGGGUGAAAGUGGGGGACCGCAAGGCCUCAUGCUAUAGGAGCGGCCGAUGUCUGAUUAGCUAGUUGGUGGGGUAAAGGCCCACCAAGGCGACGAUCAGUAGCUGGUCUGAGAGGACGAUCAGCCACACUGGGACUGAGACACGGCCCAGACUCCUACGGGAGGCAGCAGUGGGGAAUUUUGGACAAUGGGCGAAAGCCUGAUCCAGCCAUGCCGCGUGUGUGAAGAAGGUCUUCGGAUUGUAAAGCACUUUAAGUUGGGAGGAAGGGCAGUAAGUUAAUACCUUGCUGUUUUGACGUUACCAACAGAAUAAGCACCGGC
rnacentral:rRNA from 1 species